ACCAACCGAUUAAUGACAAUACGAGCACAUAUACAAGCGAAUAUUCGUGUUCACCAAUCGAUUCACGGAUUUAUCUAACAGAGAUCUCGAUAUCCAGAAAUUUCGUUCUCACGUUCUUUUUCCUUUUCUGCUUGUCCCUUGCACCUGGCUUCAUCGCCAACGAAAAACAACCGCGGAGUAAUUAAUCGUUAACGAGCGAUAAUUAAUGACAAUAGGAAGUAUCGGUUCACAAGUGUCGUCCUCGAAUAACGAACGAUUGCUAAUUAAUGUUCAGCGUCGAGGAGAAUUGCCAUCAAGUUUCAAGAAGGCCUGUUAGUCUCGCGUGGCAUUUUCGCGAUAAGAGGGUAAUACUGGCGAACAAUUGUUGGAAUUUAGACGAUGAAACAAACGAUGAUUAUAAACGAAGCAAGUUUCUUCGUAUAAAUGGAUGUGUUGUAGGCUGUUUUAUGUUUGUAGUUUAACACUUUACCGACCGAUAGCCAAUUAACCGUUUUUUUGUCGCUGACAAUCUUUCUUAUUAUUUGAGCAGUACUUUGCUAUUUAGUACUAAGGUACCUUGCUCAGCUGCGUUGCUUUGUAAGCUCCCACAGUUUUAUACCAAUUUGAAAAACGUACCGUUCGCAAUGAGCAAAAAGAAUGGUAUUGGAGAGUUUAAACCGAAACAGAGCCAGCGCCAGGGAGAAUCUGCGCCUGAGAUGCCGGUCGGACGUACAUAUGCUGUUGAAUCGCCAGAGGUCGGUAAAGUGUUAAGACUAACUUCGGUUUAAGAUAAUUGAUUGUAUCUAAAAGACACAAUUUAUGGAUGAAAAAAUGUAUAUACAAAUAAUGUCACAUGGACGUGGUAAAGUAGCUUCUUUAAGUCGUAUGUUAAAAAUAUUAUAAUACCGACUUCUAGGGAGAACAAUUUUCUGAAUACAUAGAAUGUAAUUUGUUAGAUUUCUGAGGCAAACAUAAUUCUGUGAAUUAACAGGCUUAGAAUUAAUCCCGCGGGAUUGAAGAAAUGAAGGGUAAUGAACCCGAAGUGAACUUGAACCUUAUAACAUGUUUCUACUUUUCUAACGAAAUUCUACUUGAUGAAGAAUCUCAAGGAAAUUAGUAACGACGAUUCUAAGAAACAAACUAAAAAUUGUAAUCAAAGGUCUUUUAAACAAAGAUUGCUAGAUGUAAACAAAUAUUAUCAAAUAGUAUCAAAAUAGUAUUAAAAAGUAUAAACAAUUUAUCAAAUUAUAUAAUCUAUAAUCAGUGAUGAAAUGCUAUUCUAAAGCAAGGGGUUAAAAAUGAUUAUGGAUUCUCUGAUUAUUAUUGAGCUGAUAUAUUAAAAGCAAUAGAACUCGCUUGGUAUGUAAAAUCUACCUGCGACAACCUUUGUAAAACAAAUAAAACAGAAAAAGACGUUAUCAUUGUUAAGGGAGUGAUGUAGUUGCACAUGAGAGUAGAAAAGUCAACGAAAAAUUGGAAUCUGGGAGAGACCCAUAUUAUUGUGUCUUUGAAUAUGUUGAAAUUGACAGAUAGAGCAACGAGUGGAUAAAUUUGUAAUAGAAAAAUAUAUAUAGAAAUAUAAGUAUAAGUACAAGUAUAGUAUAUGAGGUCAAAAUCAAAUAAAUUGUUACCAUUAUUUAUUAAUUGAAUAUAUGAUAUUGUUGAGGUUAAGUGAUAGAGGAACGAGUGGAUGAAUUUGUAAUGGAAAAAUAUAUUGAAAUAAGUAUAGGCACAAAUGUAAGUACAGGUAUAGUGUAUGAGGUUAAAAUCAAAUAAAUUGUUAUCAUUAUUUAUUAAUUUAAUAUAUCAUAUUGUUGAGAUUGAUUGAUAGAACAACGAGUGGAUGAAUUUGUAAUAGAAAAAUAUAUUGAAAUAUAAGUAUAAGUACAAGUAUAAUGUAUGAGGUCAAAAUCAAAUAAAUUGUUAUCAUUAUUUAUUAAUUUCAUAUAUGAUAUUAUUGAGGUUAAGUGAUAGAGGAACGAGUGGAUGAAUUUGUAAUAGAAAAAUAUAUUGAAAUAAGUAUAGGUAUAAGUAUAAGUACAGGUAUAGUGUAUGCUGAUGCAGAUCCUCACUCUUACAGUGUUACAAUAAAAUAAAAAGAAGGAUAGGGAGCACGUUCAUAUCAAAGGACAUUACCAAAAAGUUAACCUUGUAGUUGUAGCUGAAGACUACAAGAAACAUACAUAGAAAUCUAUUUAUAGCUCCUUUGUUUCUAGACCUUGUAAUCCAAAACAACAUUUA